rnacentral:rRNA from 1 species
UCGAUUCCCUUAGUAGCGGCGAGCGAAACGGGAAGAGCCCAAACCAACAAGCUUGCUUGUUGGGGUUGUAGGACACUCUAUACGGAGUUACAAAGGACGACAUUAGACGAAUCAUCUGGAAAGAUGAAUCAAAGAAGGUAAUAAUCCUGUAGUCGAAAAUGUUGUCUCUCUUGAGUGGAUCCUGAGUACGACGGAGCACGUGAAAUUCCGUCGGAAUCUGGGAGGACCAUCUCCUAAGGCUAAAUACUCUCUAGUGACCGAUAGUGAACCAGUACCGUGAGGGAAAGGUGAAAAGCACCCCGGAAGGG